UAGCUAAAUGCGGAAGAGAUAAGUGCUGAAAGCAUCUAAGCACGAAACUUGCCCCGAGAUGAGUUCUCCCUGAGACUUUAAGUCUCCUGAAGGAACGUUAAAGACGAUGACGUUGAUAGGCCGGGUGUGUAAGCGCAGCGAUGCGUUGAGCUAACCGGUACUAAUGAACCGUGAGGCUUAACCUU
rnacentral:rRNA from 2 species